UCAAUUAUGAACCCAGAAGGAUACUAAAUAACCUAGGAAAAGUUUAUUCCAAACCAAAUCAGCAACCAAACUCAAAAUAGCUUGAAUAAGACCCUAACCAACUUAAAUCGAAUCCAGGAAAAAUAUUGGAAAGUUAACUCUUCAAAUAUGCGUAUUUCAGGUUAUUUUUCUAUCCUAUAUGGCUAAAUUUCUACUGGACAGCUGAGAGUUAGAAUUAUUCUGAGGAUAGAGGAUCUAAUGGAGCAGUAAAAUCACUGAAUUUCAGAGGAUUUCAGUAACUUAAUACACUUUGGAUUUUUGGAAUCUUUUUCAGAAACUUUUGAGAAUUUUUAGGCUUCAAAAUUUCUAGGAAAUUUUCAGAGCUCUUUUAGAAUGUCUGUAAAGUCUUUUUUUUAAUCUCAAUAGCCAAAAGCUAGGGCAACCCCAUUAUUUUGUUUUAACCACUAGCCUCUCUUCUAAUUUUCAGAUUUUACUUACUUGGUCCUUUAUUUUUUGACUUGCUU
rnacentral:lncRNA from 1 species